rnacentral:rRNA from 1 species
GAUGAACGCUGGCGGCGUGCCUAACACAUGCAAGUCGAACGGAAAGGCGCCUGCUUGCCGGGGUACUCGAGUGGCGAACGGGUGAGUAACACGUGGGGGAUAUGCCCUGCACUUCGGGAUAAGCCUGGGAAACUGGGUAUAAUAUCGGAUAGGACAACAUUUUGGACGGUGUGGUGGAAAGUUUUUCGGUGUGGGAUGAGCUCGCGGCCUAUUAGCUUGUUGGUGGGGUAGUGGCUUCCCAAGGCGUAGACGGAUCGCCCGCCUGGGAGGUUGUACGGACUCCUUGCUCCUACGAUACGGCCCAGACGGCUACCUGACGCAACAGUCGGGAAUAUUGCGCAGUGGGGGCAAGCCUGAUACAGCGACGUCGCGUUCGGGAUGCCCGCCUUCGGGUUGUAAACUCCUUUCGCUAUGGCCGAAGCCCUAGUGACGGUACCUGGAGAAGAAGCACCGGCUAACUACGUG